AAAUGAAUUGACGGGGAGCACCACAACGGGUGGAGCUUGCGGUUUAAUUGGAUUCAACGCCGGAAAUCUUACCGGGACCGACAGCAAUAUGAAGGCCAGGCUGAAGACUUUGCCGGAUUAGCUGAGAGGUGGUGCAUGGCCGUCGUCAGUUCGUACUGUGAAGCAUCCUGUUAAGUCAGGCAACGAGCGAGACCCACGCCCACAGUUGCCAGCGUACUCUCUGGAGUGACGGGUACACUGUGGGGACCGCCGCUGCUAAAGCGGAGGAAGGAAUGGGCAACGGUAGGUCAGUAUGCCCCGAAUAUCCCGGGCUACACGCGAGCUACAAUGGUUGGUACAAUGGGUAUCUACCCCGAAAGGGGACGGGAAUCUCCUAAAACCAAUCUUAGUUCGGAUUGAGGGCUGCAACUCGCCCUCAUGAAGCUGGAAUCCGUAGUAAUCGCGUUUCAACAGAACGCGGUGAAUACGUCCCUGCUCCUU
rnacentral:rRNA from 1 species